GUCUUCAUGGAAUAGCUUAGAAGGGGCCUGAGACAUGAAAGGGAAUUAUAUUUAGCAAUACAAAUGCUACAAAACCUUCUUUACUCUCAAACUGUGGAGAGGAUUUGGUAUGUCCACGCAAGAGUUGGCAACUGUCUGCUGAAAUGAGAUCCUCAACUGGGAUGCUGGGAGUCUUGGAGUUGAGCUAUACUUUUGCUUCCCCAAUCUACACAGAGGUUUUCUGCUGGAGCAGAGACUGAUAAGUGAAGAUUGGAGCUGAGACCAAGUCUUGAGUGUGACAUCCAAGAAGAUCCUUCCUAAGUUUAUUGCCCAACUAAGUGUGUUCUGGAAGCAACUCAAUUUGGUCAAACUGGAGCCAAGGUGUAGCGGUCUUAUGCUGGAAAUACAUGGCAGCCAAGUAUCAUGUUAUGCUGCAACACGGCUGAGCAGGAGAGAUCAUGUGAGACAUUUGGAAUACAGGAAGAUGUUUUUUCAGCUACUGUUCAAAGUCAAUAUAUAAGAAAAGCUGACACUAAGCAACUACAAAUAUAAUAGCCCUGUGAAUUCUACAACUGUAGUUAUGUGUAUUUGUGGGACAGAAUCAACUGAGUUUUAGGGUAAAGUCAUUGAUGACAAGUGGCAGAAAUUCAGCUUUCUGUGAAAGUAAUUUCAAUCUCUUCUGCUAAACAUAAGCCUUCAUCGUCAGACUGUCUGUACUGAC